UCGGCGGCGCCGGCUGAGCCCCGGGGCGACGCGGACGGCUGUCUGGAGACCUGGGAGAGACAGGAGCAAGGACAAAGUGCCGUUUUCCUGCCUCAGCCCCCCGCUCGCUCUGGUUCCGAAGAGAGGCUGGGACACUGCGCUCCUGCCUGUGUUGCUGUGUCAGCCCUUUCCUGGCCUCCUGUGGGGCGGUGCCUUGUGCCAGGACCCGCUGUCCCCGGAGGGAAGAGGUGCCAUGCCAAGCUCCGUGGCUGACCGAUCUCGGGUCGCAGCCCGGCCACUGGUUGUAGUGAGGAAGUCCUUUCUCGCGUGGCGUGGCGUGGUUCCCCACUCUGCUCUGGCUCCAUCCUCUUCCUCAUCUAGAGCUGGACAGCGCCUCCGCCGCCCUGCCAAGACAGAUGCUGAUCCCAGUUAUGUGCGUGUGUAAAGGGGCGUGGGUGUGUCGGGGAGGACAGGGAAGGCCUGUUGGCCCAGGUCACCUGUGUGCCACCUGCCACAGGAGCCCACAGCAGGGGGCCUUUCAGGGACCCAUGUGACUAUCUGACAGCUGAGGAAAAACAUGAUUGGCUCUAAAAUAAGAACACUGCAAAAUUGAAAUCAAUAAAUUCUUAAUCAAAUGUCCAACUGUAACAUUAUAUCAACCUCAUUAAUUGUUAAAUUUAGUAUUCAUAAAAAUUUCAUUACAUUUGAAA